UCUCCGUAGGUGAACCUGCGGAGGGAUCAUUACAGAGUUCAUGCCCUACCGGGUCGAUCUCCCACCCUAUGUUAUUAUUGCUUUGUUGCUUCGGCGGGCCGUUAGGCUCCGGCCCGACUACCGGCCCCGGCUGGUAAGCGCCCGCCAGAGGACCCAAAACCCUGAAUAUUAGUGUCGUCUGAGUACUAUAUAAUAGUUAAAACUUUCAACAACGGAUCUCUUGGUUCUG
rnacentral:misc_RNA from 1 species